rfam:Aedes albopictus isolate Foshan contig105304, whole genome shotgun sequence.
CUCCAGUUAGCCUUGUGGGUAAGGCUUUGGAUUGCCAAUCCUGAGACAGCGGGUUUGAUUCCCGUUCUGGUUG